rnacentral:rRNA from 1 species
AGACAACUUUUGACGGUGGAUCUCUUGGCUCACGCAUCGAUGAAGAACGCAGCCAGCUGCGAUAAGUAGUGUGAAUUGCAGAAUUCAGUGAAUCAUCGAAUCUUUGAACGCAAAUGGCGCUCUUGGGUUCUCCCAGGAGCAUGUCUGUCUGAGUGUC